UACGAGGGGUCCUAGCGUUGUUCGGAAUCAUUGGGCGUAAAGGGUGCGUAGGUGGCCAUUCAAGUCAGUUGUGAAAUCCCCGGGCUCAACCCGGGAAGUGCUUCUGAUGCUGUUGGCUGAGUACUGGAGAGGAUAGUAGAAUUCCGGAGUGAGUGGUGAAAUACGUAGAUAUCUGGAGGAAUACCGUGGCGAAGGCGGCUAUCUGGCCAUGUACUGACACUGAAGCACGAAGCGUGGGAGCAACAGG
rnacentral:rRNA from 1 species